UCAGACCCGUGGCAAAUAGCUCAGUAGCACGUGGCCAAUCUACCCUCCGGAUCAGCACACCCUCGGGAAACUGAGGCCAAUUCUGUAUACGGCUCCCGACCUGGAAUGGUGGGAGCUCGAAACGCUCCGGCGCCGGAGGAUGAGGCUGCGGCCGAUUAGGUUGACGGUGGGGUAAUGGCCCACCGUGCCGAUAAUCGGUCUGGGUCAUGAGAGUGAGAACCCAGAGACGGAAUCUGAGACAAGAUUCCGGGCCCUACGGGGCGCAGCAGGCGCGAAACCUUUACACUGCACGCACGUGCGAUAAGGGGACUCCGAGUGCGAGGGCAUAUCGUCCUCGCUUUCGUGUACCGUAGGGUGGUACACCAACAAGGGCUGGGCAAGACCGGUGCCAGCCGCCGCGGUAAUACCGGCAGCCCGAGUGAUGGCCGAUCUUAUUGGGCCUAAAGCGUCCGUAGCUGGCUGCGCAAGUCCGUCGGGAAAUCCACUCGCCCAACGAGUGGGCGUCCGACGGAAACUGCACAGCUUGGGACCGGAAGGCUCGAAGGGUACGUUCGGGGUAGGAGUGAAAUCCCAUAAUCCCGCACGGACCACCGAUGGCGAAAGCACUUCGAGAAAACGGAUCCGACAGUGAGGGACGAAAGCCAGGGUCUCCAACCGGAUUAGAUACCCGGGUAGUCCUGGCCGUAAACAAUGUUCGCUAGGUAUGACACAGACUACGCGUCUCUGUUGUGCCGUAGGGAAGCCG
rnacentral:rRNA from 1 species